AGGCGGGGCCUAAUUUUAAAAAGACGUACAAGUACAUCUUGUGGAAUGAAAGAGUUAAAAGCCGACAUGUUCCAGAAUUUUCACGUUGCUGUCAACGGCACCCAACGAAGUCAUCACAUAAAUGUUCUGUUUUUAAAAGGUAGUAUCAGAAGCUUCUUUGACCUUUUCCCAGCUUUUUCCUCUGAAGCUGUUUUGAAAAAAUAACCGCAUGGAAUAAGGGGGACAAAGUCGACCUCGCACUUUUCCGCCUUCCGAGGUCAUAUCGGAAGCCUCUUUCAAACUCCCUUUAAAGGUGACAUUUUCCUGACUUUGCCAGUGCCACCACUGACUCAACAGCACUGACACAAUAGAAGGUGUGAUGUCAACCUGGCAAUUUUCCGUCAUUUGCGGUAAUUUCCAAAUUUAGAAACCUCUUCAAUACUGCCUGGUUUGUAAAAGAUGUCAUUUUUCUGUCUUUUUCCUGUGUGGCUGUCUUGGAUAAACGACACCGCUGGAGAACGGGGCGACAAAGUCGACCCAGCAUUUUUCCACCUUUUGGAGGUAGCAUCAAAAGCAUUUUUAACACUGCCUGUAAAAUCAUACGAUCGGACAAUUUUGCGCCUUCAGAGGCCAGUAUCAGAAGUGUAUUUCACGCCGCCUGUUGAAGCUGACAUGUUCACAACUUUUUUCCUCUGCAGCUGCUCUGUAUAAAUGGGACCGAACUGGAGGGACAAAGUUCACCCAGUAAUUUUCCGCCUUCAGAGGAAGGCUCAGAAGCCCUUUUAACACCGACUGCAAAAACCGCAGGUUUUUUUUCCAUGUCGAUCAUUACAAAUAGCACUGACAUGGAAUGAGGGUUACAAAUUUGACCCACCGUUGAAGGUAGAGUCAGAAUUUAUGUGUCGCUGUUUUGUAAAAACAGCAUUAAAAGUACACCCAGGAAUUUAGGGCUCAGAUACUACCUCCAAAACUGCAAACUCGGAUCGCCUUUGCCCUUCCAAUUCCGCAUUGGCACUUUUCACACACAAAUGUGAGACAGGAAAAUGGCUGUGACAAAUAGUCAGAAUGUUGGCUUCUAAAAGGCACAGGCGGCUCAAUUCCGGAAUUUCUGUUACGGCUCGCAUGCCGCCAAUUUCGCAGGAUCUCUGCGUGAAAGCGGCUCGACAGAUAAACAGAAUUCUGUUUUCCCGGGCUUGUCAUUUUCUCUCCAUCACAAUCCCUCCGCCGUGCAACACGCGCCUGGUUAAUGGAGGUGAGGGGUUAAUGCAAGCUGGGACUCGUUCCUCCGCACGACGCUGAUGAGGUCUCGUCAGGAGUCAAGGAAGACGGAAAGCACGUGAGAGCAGCGAGAGCGAUGAAAGGACGGAGAGAGAGUGCGAGCGACACCCUUCGCUCCGAUGAGGACGACGGAUGAAGGAGGUGGAGGAGGAGUGUGGGAGGACAGGCGUUGGCAUGGCAACGACAGGGAUGACAGACGCAACCGGGAAAGUUGUCUGGAAGAAGCCUUGAGGUAAAACUCUGGUGAAUGUCGUCCCCUUUUCAUCGGUUCUGACUCCUGCGUGCCCGCAUCAUGACACGGUGCUAUAAUCUCAUGACUGUUGAAUCUCAAAUAGACCGUGAUUGCGGAUUUGUAUCUGUCUCUUUCGCUUUGGCUCCACUGCAAGAUUUAGGCUUGUAUUAGUCUAAUUAUAUUCAAAACAAGAGCCGUGUUUUCAUAAUAGCGACUGUAGAAUGUCAUUGAAUGGAGAGCAGACCUUCGCCAAGUUUGCGGCGUUACCAAGGGUGAAAACUAUUCACUAUUCACGUUUCUUUGUCCGCCCAAAUUGUUAGCAGGCCGCUUCCUGGUUGGGUGGGUUUGACUUGAGACUAAAACCAGCCGCACGAAUGGUGGGCAACUUAUGAAAAUUAGUGGAAGCACCACACACACUACGUAAUGCAACUGGACGGUUUGAUCGUGUUUGGCCAUAUCGUUUGUUUGUUGGUACGCACUGUCACUUGCAUCACUGCCACCAACCGGCUGCGAUGGUUGGUCAGGGUUCGAUUUUACAGGCAAAUUUGGUUUUUUUUCAGUUUUUGCUUUCACAUUAAUCAACCAUGUUUUGCUUGCUGGUCCUUCUUCAGGGUUGUCCACGUUUUCAAUUUUGGUGCAAAACCAGAGAACGAUCAAUGAAAUGAUCAAAUUAGGACGAGAGCCACUAAAUUGGGACGAGAGCCACUUUUGUGACGUGUAGCACGGCCACCUUAACAGGAAUCGAGUCAAAGCGUAACCACCUGUCAAAUCCUGAUUUUUCAGUCAAAUGCAUUUUUAAGAGUGCUCGGCCCCCGACGGAGGUCGAACUGAUUGCCGUUCUAAAAACUUGGCUUGACUUUUGGGAUUGGAUCUUAUCAUCAACACGGUUCUGUGAAAAUGCUGUGACAAGUGAGUGGAUAAUGUCACCUUGCUUGCUAUUUUCAAGUAUCAAUAUGCCUCUCAAGUGCCGACUGUAAAAAAAA